rnacentral:rRNA from 1 species
CCUACGGGUGGCAGCAGUGGGGAAUAUUGCACAAUGGGGGAAACCCUGAUGCAGCGACGCCGCGUGAGUGAAGAAGUAUUUCGUUACGUAAAGCUCUAUCAGCAGGGAAGAAACACUGACUUUCCGGUCAGCAGACGGUAGCUGCGUACGAACCCCCGGCUACCUACGUGCCAGGAGGCGCGGUAAUACGUAGGGGGCAAGCGUUAUCCGGAUUUACUGGGGGUAAUGGGAGCGUAGACGGCGGGCCAAGUCUGGAGUGAAAUGCCGGGGCUUAACUGCGGAACUGCGUUGGAAACUGGCGGGCUAGAGUGCGGGAGGGGAAGGCGGAAUUCCUAGUGUAGCGGUGAAAUGCGUAGAUAUUAGGAGGAACACCGGUGGCGAAGGCGGCUUACUGGACCGUAACUGACGUUGAGGCUCGAAAGCGUGGGGAGCAAACAGGAUUAGAUACCCGAGUAGUC